GAAAUGCGAUAAGUAAUGUGAAUUGCAGAAUUCAGAGAAUCAUCGAAUCUUUGAACGCACACUGCGCCCCCUGGUAUUCCGGGGGGCAUGCCUGUUCUCGCGUCAUCUCACCACUCAAGCCUCGCUUGGUAUUGGGCGACGCGGUCCGCCGCGCGCCUCAAAUCGACCGGCUGGGUCUUCUGUCCCCUCAGCGUUGUGGAAACUAUUCGCUAAAGGGUGCCACGGGAGGCCACGCCUAAAAACAAACCCAUUUCUAAGGUUGACCUCGGAUCAGGUAGGGAUACCCGCUGAACUUAA
rnacentral:misc_RNA from 1 species